UACGUAGGGUGCAAGCGUUAAUCGGAAUUACUGGGCGUAAAGCGUGCGCAGGCGGUGAUGUAAGACAGGUGUGAAAUCCCCGGGCUUAACCUGGGAACUGCAUUUGUGACUGCAUCGCUGGAGUGCGGCAGAGGGGGAUGGAAUUCCGGCGUGUAGCAGUGAAAUGCGUAGAUAUGCGGAGGAACACCGAUGGCGAAGGCAAUCCCCUGGGCCUGCACUGACGCUCAUGCACGAAGCGUGGGAGCAAACAGG
rnacentral:rRNA from 1 species